GAACGCUGGCGGCGUGCCUACUACAUGCAAGUCGAGCGAACGGACGAGAAGCUUGCUUCUCUGAUGUUAGCGGCGGACGGGUGAGUAACACGUGGAUAACCUACCUAUAAGACUGGGAUAACUUCGGGAAACCGUAGCUAAUACCGGAUAAUAUUUUGAACCGCAUGGUUCAAAAGUGAAAGACGGUCUUGCUGUCACUUAUAGAUGGAUCCGCGCUGCAUUAGCUAGUUGGUAAGGUAACGGCUUACCAAGGCAACGAUGCAUAGCCGACCUGAGAGGGUGAUCGGCCACACUGGAACUGAGACACGGUCCAGACUCCUACGGGAGGCAGCAGUAGGGAAUCUUCCGCAAUGGGCGAAAGCCUGACGGAGCAACGCCGCGUGAGUGAUGAAGGUCUUCGGAUCGUAAAACUCUGUUAUUAGGGAAGAACAUAUGUGUAAGUAACUGUGCACAUCUUGACGGUACCUAAUCAGAAAGCCACGGCUAACUACGUG
rnacentral:rRNA from 1 species